AUGACCUCCAAUCAUCAUCUUAAUUCGUUCGUCUUCUUUCGAUGCUCAUCUCCGAUUCGAUCAAUUCAAUUGAUGCUCACUAAAUACUCUUCGACUUCACCUUCACUCAGCAUCGCUGUCUCAACAGUCACCAUUGCCUCACCGUCCACUUGCGAUUUUGCGCUUCAGUCGCGUAUCAACUUAUUCCUCCUUCAACUUGUUGUCUACUCAAUCUUCUACUCAAUGUCAUGGAGUUCAAGGGUGACGGAGAAAUUAAAACGCAACACGGAUUUAGGGGAUUAA